GGGGCCGCAACGGUUUCGACAGGUUGGCGAAAGCUGAACUGUGACUCAGGUCGAGAGUGAGUCUCCUCUCGUUAAUCAAAGGCUCAAACAAAUAGUAACUGCGAACAACAUCGUUCCUUUCGCUCGUAAAGCUGCGCCUGUCGCUGCUUAAUCCAAACCUAACACAAGGUUUCGAGCAUCUGCAGUUUGACUCCGUUAAGGAUUGCAGAUCUAACCCCAACGGAUGCUCUUCUCAAAUGCCUCUGGUCAUUUGCUAGGUUAAGACUUUACUAGAGAAUCCUAGCGUUCGGGAUAAGGAACGCUCCCCGCUUCUCGGGUAAUUGAAGCUAAACCUGUGAACGAGCAGCAAGUAAAUACCCAGUCUGGACAGCAGUUCAACUCUGCUCGGCUCCAUUC
rnacentral:tmRNA from 1 species